GGAUCCGUAGCUCAGCUGGAUAGAGCGCUGCCCUCCGAAGGCAGAGGCCGAAGGUUCGAAUCCUUUCGGAUCCGCCA
rnacentral:tRNA from 1 species